rnacentral:rRNA from 1 species
UACAGAGGCCCCAAGCGUUACUGAGAAUCACUGGGUUUAAAGGGUGCGUAGGUGGUCCGUUAAGUCUGUUGUGAAAGCCCUUGGCUCAACCAAGGAAUUGCUUCGGAUACUGGCGGACUUGAGGCUAGUAGAGGUCACUGGAACUGACGGUGGAGCGGUGAAAUGCGUAGAUAUCGUCAGGAACGCCGGUGGUGAAGACGGGUGACUGGGCUAGUUCUGACACUGAGGCACGAAAGCGUGGGGAGCGAACGGGG